rnacentral:rRNA from 1 species
AAAACUUUCAACAACGGAUCUCUUGGCUCUGGCAUCGAUGAAGAACGCAGCGAAAUGCGAUAAGUAAUGUGAAUUGCAGAAUCUAGUGAAUCAUCGAAUCUUUGAACGCACAUUGCGCCCUCUGGUAUUCCGGAGGGCAUGCCUGUUCGAGCGUCAUU